rnacentral:rRNA from 1 species
UACGUAGGGGGCGAGCGUUGUCCGGAUUUAUUGGGCGUAAAGAGCGUGUAGGCGGCCAGGUAGGUCCGUUGUGAAAACUCGAGGCUCAACCUCGAGACGUCGGCGGAAACCCUCUGGCUAGAGUCCGGAAGAGGAGAGUGGAAUUCCUGGUGUAGCGGUGAAAUGCGCAGAUAUCAGGAAGAACACCCGUGGCGAAGGCGGCUUUCUGGGACGGUACUGACGCUGAGACGCGAAAGCGUGGGGAGCGAACAGG